GUAGAAAUUUCAAGACUUUAGCUAAAAGGGAAAUAUUGAAAAACUACAAACAUAAUUACCGAUAAUUUGCCGUUUUGCAGUUGUUUUUAUAUUUUUUUAAUAUUUUUCUUUUCGCUGAAGUCUUGAAAUUUCCACACCGAAUAGCAAUUUUCAAUAGCUUCAAUUUGAUAUAUUGCCCGACGUUUGGGGUCAAGUAUUUCUGCUCAUAACUCAGAAAAACUAUUUUGGCUUCAUCAAAUCAUAGGCCUUCAUCAUAGCAGUUAGCCUUCCAGUCUAUUUAUAGUUCAAUGG